rnacentral:rRNA from 1 species
UACAGAGGUCUCAAGCGUUGUUCGGAUUCAUUGGGCGUAAAGGGUGCGUAGGCGGCGCGGUAAGUCGGGUGUGAAAUCUUGGAGCUUAACUCCGAAACUGCAUUCGAUACUGCCGUGCUUGAGGACUGGAGAGGAGACUGGAAUUUACGGUGUAGCGGUGAAAUGCGUAGAUAUCGUAAGGAAGACCAGUGGCGAAGGCGGGUCUCUGGACAGUUCCUGACGCUGAGGCACGAAGGUCGGGGGAGCAAACGGG